rnacentral:rRNA from 1 species
GCCCUGGCCGGGCGGUCUGCCUCACGGUAUGUACUGUCUGGCUGGGGCUUACCUCUUGGUGAGCUCGCAUGCCGUUUAUUCGGUGUGUGAGGGAACCAGGACUUUUACUUUGAAAAAAUUAGAGUGUUUAAAACAGGCUUAUGCUUGAAUACAUUAGCAUGGAAUAACGGAAUAGGACUU